rnacentral:ncRNA from 1 species
AACUUUUAUUAGCAAACAUACUGAAAAGUAUGGACGCAAAGCUAUAGGGUCUACGGAUUUUUUUAGAGAUCUAUGAUCGCCACGCUGCAUGA